AGAGUUUGAUCAUGGCUCAGAACGAACGUUGGCGGCGUGCUUAACACAUGCAAGUCAAGCGCGAAAUCGGACUUCGGUCUGAGAGUAGAGCGGCGCACGGGUGAGUAACGCGUGAAUAAUCUACCCCGAAGCCUGGGAUAACCACUCGAAAGGGUGGCUAAUACCGGAUAAGCCCCCGCCGUCGUCGGACGGAGAGGGAAAAGUUCAGGCGCUUCGGGAUGAGUUCGCGUCCCAUUAGGUAGUUGGUGAGGUAAAGGCUCACCAAGCCGAAGAUGGGUAGCUGGUCUGAGAGGAUGAUCAGCCACACUGGAACUGAGACACGGUCCAGACUCCUACGGGAGGCAGCAGUGGGGAAUAUUGCGCAAUGGGCGAAAGCCUGACGCAGCAACGCCGCGUGAGUGAUGAAGGCCCUCGGGUCGUAAAGCUCUGUCAGGAGGGACGAAGCAAGUGACGGUACCUCCAAAGGAAGCACUGGCUAACUCCGUGCCAGCAGCCGCGGUAAUACGGAGAGUGCAAACGUUGUUCGGAAUCAUUGGGCGUAAAGCGCGCGUAGGCGGUGUAUCAGGUCGGGUGUGAAAGCCCAGGGCUCACCCUGGAACUGCGCUCGAAACCGGUCGCUAGAGUCCUAAGGGAGAAGCGGACUCUUGGUGUAGGGGUGAAUCGUAGAUNNAGGAGGACACAGAGCAAAGCGGUUCUUGGUAGGUCUACCUAAGUCNAACNUGGUCAACAGGAUUAAUNCCGGNAGCACCCGAACAANUCCNGGGAGAGUUGNCCUUAUGCCAGUACCGUAGU
rnacentral:rRNA from 1 species